rnacentral:rRNA from 1 species
GAUGAACGCUAGCGGCAGGCUUAAUACAUGCAAGUCGAGGGGUAGCAAGAUUGUAGCAAUACAAUUGUUGACGACCGGCAAACGGGUGCGGAACACGUACACAACCUUCCUACAAGUGGGGAAUAGCCCAGAGAAAUUUGGAUUAAUACCCCGUAACAUAGCGAUGUGGCAUCACAUUGCUAUUAUAGCUUCGGCGCUUGUUGAUGGGUGUGCGGCUGAUUAGGUAGUUGGCGGGGUAACGGCCCACCAAGCCUACGAUCAGUAGCUGAUGUGAGAGCAUGAUCAGCCACACGGGCACUGAGACACGGGCCCGACUCCUACGGGAGGCAGCAGUAAGGAAUAUUGGACAAUGGACGCAAGUCUGAUCCAGCCAUGCCGCGUGAAGGAUUAAGGUCCUCUGGAUUGUAAACUUCUUUUAUAAGGGACGAAAAAAGGUCUUUCUAGAUCGUCUGACGGUACCUUAUGAAUAAGCACCGGCUAACUCCGUGCCAGCCGCCGCGGUAAAAC